rnacentral:lncRNA from 1 species
GUGCGUCCGGCACCCCCAUGGAAGCAAAGAUGGGUCGGGGUGCAUUCAUGACCACCACUGGAGCGGGUUGUGGUGCGUCCGGGACCACCACCGGAACAGGAUCGGAUUGGGGUGCAGCCGGCACUUCGGUCUUCAGCCCUGAUUCAUUUGGUAAGUAUUGUUCACGUUUUUCUUUUUAAAUGAAAUGCUUUAAAUAUGCUCUUAUUUACUACUUUAAAUGUGGUUUACUGUUGUUUAAACAUACGUGUUACGAUCAUUGUAGAGCUUAAUGUGACAAAUGUUCAUUGGUUAGUCGUAGCAUAUGGCGAGCUGUUCAAACCAAAAUGUAUUUCUGCCCGUAAGUUACGACAGUGAAGACUUUUUUUCAGAGGUAGAAAUGAUCUGUUAUGCUGCAAUCACACUAAACGUGAUCCGUGAGUGAAAUUCGCAUCAGAGCCCUCUGUUUGUGGCUAAAGUUUGCUGCUGGACACAUGUCCAAAACUGUCACAGACUCAAAGCCUCUAACGGUUGUGUGGGAGGAGUUAACGCCAAAGGUUUUAAGCCUGGUUGCUACAUGGAAGCAUUGGGUUGUGAAUGCAGCUUCAAGCUUUUUCAAAUCACUGAUCUCCAUUUUAAAAUGUUUUUUUGUAAAAAUCAAUCAAUCAAUGUGCUCUUGUUGUGUUCAGUGUUUCACUGCCAGGUAGACGCCAAGGCCAGCCAGAUACUGAACUUCAAAGAGUUCACCAGAAAGUCACCAUUUCACCAGAAAAGAGCUGUCAGUGGGCUGAAGGUGGCACAUUGGAAUGGAGGUGUAAGUUGUGUUCUGUUACUUUAGCAGUAUUACUACAUAGACAAUAUUCCAAAGUGUCUCCACAGACAUGGCAGUGGAGACACUUUGGAAUAUUGUCAUGUCUCUAUUACAGUUGCAUUAGCACCUUUCCAUCAUUUGAAACCAUGGAAG